rnacentral:rRNA from 1 species
AGUUUUUUGUAGCUUAAUUAAAAAUGUUUCCUGCUCAAUGAUUCUUAAAUAGCCGCAGUAAUUUGACUGUGCAAAGGUAGCGUAAUAAUUUGCCUCGUAAUUUGGGGCUUGAAUGAAUGGAAUAACAAGAUUUUUGCUUUAUUUUUUGAAAUGAUAUAAUUUUCUUUUUUAGUGAGGAAGCUGAAAUUUUUUUAUGGGACAAGAAGACCCUUUUGAUCUUUAUUAAUUUUUUUUUUUUUAAAUUUUUUUAAUUUGGUUGGGGCGAUCUUGGAAGUAUCUGUAUUUUUGAUCUUCCUUUAUUACUUUGAUUUAUUUUUUUGAUUAGUGGAUUUAGUUACCAAAGGGAUAACAGCGUAAUUUUUUUUGUGAGUUCUUAUUUAAAAUAUAAAUUGCGACCUCGAUGUUGAUUUAUGGUUUUCUUUUGGUGUAGUAGCUGAAUARAUAAGUCUGUUCAACUUUUAAUGCCUU